AUAUAUCUGACACGACGUACUAUACUCGUAUGGUAGACAACGUCAUCGUAUUUUCAUUUAGUACCUCGACGACGUCAAUAAGAACGAACGUUCGUACGUUUUACGCAAUACCGUAUAUUGUUUCAACAAACCUUUAUACGCAUAGGGAUGUAGAAAAGUGAUACCGAAUUGUGCUACCUGUCGUCAUCUUCGUCGUCGUCAGCAUCACAUAACGCCACAUCUCAAUCUUUUGGCUUUCACACUUCAUCAUUAUCGAGUCAAGCUCAUCCAGCAAUAAUUCUAACCACAAAAAUCAUCUCAAAUCGAACUUUCUUGUCAGUUUAGCUCAGUUUGGAACAUUUUUACAUGGGAAUAUCAUCAUCCCAACAUCGUUUUGGCUGCAAACGUUGCUGUGGCGCGCAAUUCCGCAGCAUUUGGUCUCAGCGUGAUCACGAGAAAAACUGCAAAUCUUCGCCCGGCGAUGUAUUCAGGUGUCAGAAGUGCACUCAAACUUUUCGCAGCUCUUGUGAUCUCAUGACUCAUAAUGCAUAUUGCCCAUGCCGAGCUUGCAAAUGAACGGGUACGUAUGCCACACGUAUGCUGGUCUGCUGACGGAUACAAAAUGGCUGCUCGCAAGGAUCAUCUCUUUUUGGCAACAAGAGCGCGUGAAAAGAACACACGCAUCGUUGGCAAAAGCCCUUCGAUUCGAAUUUAAUCAAAUUACCGCCGCUUUAACCAUGUUUGAAAUUUAAUUCGCCUCUUUCUAGUAUGUAGAAACUCUCUCGCUCUCUUGCUCUUUUUUUUCCUCGUGCCCUUUCUCUGCACUGUGUGAAUUUUAAUAAACGUUAUAAAACGCA